GAUAAAUGCGUCCUAUAGAAGAAUGUAAAUAGAAACAUGUAUAUAUUCAUGUGUAUAUUCAAACACAUGUAUGCAAACAUAGAUGAUAUUUUUCACUUCAAGAGAUAUCGCCUGGGUCAAGGUAAAUGACAAAUUCUGAUUUUUACUUUGGAGAAAAGAAGCAAGAAAACAAAAAGCCGAAAAAAAUUGAAAUUUUAGGUAUAUUAAUAAGCUGUGAGAGUAGAAUCGUUUCUAUAUUUGAAAAAGUGAAUAUUGGUGUAGAAAUCUUGUUUGAAAAAAUAUUUAUACAAUCAUUAGUAGAUUUUAUAUAUUUAAAAAAAGAGAAGUAUGUAUAGUAAAUUCUGGCAUCGAUACUACUCCUACUACUUCUACUACUACUAGUACUACGUCUGCCUGGAGUUAACGCCGAUGAAAAGACUGCCUUUGAAAAUGUGGAGCCCAGGAUGAUAGCGAAGCAAAUGCUUCUUUCAUGCUUUGAUAAAGAGAGUAGAUGCAAGAGAGGAAAGCAGCAGGCCGUCAUGUUUUGUUGAUAUCGCAGUCAAGUGAAUUAAGCAAUUUGAAAAGAGAGAAGGGAUGAUCGUGAUGAGAAAAUGUGCAGCCAACGUGUGAGAAACGUGUCGUCUUUGACAUCGUUCACUUAUAAGGAGAAAAGGUACAAAUGGAAAAUUUGAGCAGCUGACUUUAUUCGAGGAAUAUAAGAAGAUCGCAAUGGCUGCAGGUUGGUCUGUGAGCUUUGUAAUGAGCGAGGAAGGCAUUGAUGUUAGAUUAGUCUUAAAUUAUCAGCGAUAAGCUGAGAGUUUAUGAACCGGAUAGAUACUGUAACCAAGUUGAGAUGAUAUAUGUGUUACGUUUCUUCAUUCUUUUUCCACCAAUAACUCAUUCCAUUAAGCGUCAAUAUUAUGGAAAAUUAUCAAGUGUCAAAUACUGAAAUUAAUAAUAGCUUCCGAACCCUUGUAGCAAUUUUAUGAAUGAAUUUGUGCCGUAAUGACAGACAGUUACCAUAUAUAUUAUAGAACUGAAAAUAUCGCAUAUCAUUGCUAAGAAAAAGUGUAAAUCUUAUUUAUUUAAUUUGUUUAAUUAUCUUAAUUCAUUGAAUUCUUAAUGGGUACAGAGCGCGUUUCAAUUGAGUUUAAUGAAGUAGUAUGUCUAGUCCCUGUAAUAAGUAAUUCAACAAUUUCGUUCCCGUAUAAUUCUGCGAGUGAUCAUUAUUGGCUGAAUCCAGCGAUCAUGACGUGAACUUUUACAGCCAACUUUAACCAAGUUUUAUAUCGAUGAUAUUCUUGCAACUGAAUAUUGAUUAUUAUUCAUUUCCUUUUAGAUAAAAAUCAGCAAUCGUGUAAAAUUAAUUGCUAUUAACGUAAAUUCACGUGUAUCGAAAUGGUUUUACCAAUUAUGCAUUAUUUGUCAAAGUAUAUCGACCAAGUAUUGAUCUCAGUACCGUAAUUGGUAUUUUUUAAAUUUCAAUUGAGAAAGUACAAUGUAUUUCAAUUCUUAUUUUUAGGAAGUCUAAAUUUAUCACUUAGUUUAGACACGUGUUCGUAUAUUUAUUUAGAUAAACAGAAUUUUUUUUCUUUUUUUUAUAUCGACCGCCACCUGCUAGUUAUAUUUUAGCCUUUAUUUAUAUUAAUUAUACAUUUAUACAGAGAGUCGAUCGUUGUUCUAUGACACGGCACAUGUAAGCGUGAAUACUACAUCACAUAUUUAUUCAACGCACAAAUUACUGUGACGACGUCGCUGACAAAUAAUAAGUUAUUAACCUCAUUCACGAUAUUUAUAAUUUAAAAUGCUCAACAAUAAGUAUGACAAUUUUGCACCUUUUAGUACUUAGGAAAUUGAUCAUUCGUCUUUGGCGAUAUUAAAAGAAAACCCAUAAGUCUGAUAAUUUUAGUUCGGUUCCUUAUUAUGUAGGUAUAACAUGUGUAGCCGUUAGUUUAUUUAUUUAUUUGUCAAUGUUGCUUGUCAUCGACUUCAGGUUUAUAG